AUUGAACGCUGGCGGCAUGCCUAACACAUGCAAGUCGAACGAGACCUUCGGGUCUAGUGGCGCACGGGUGCGUAACGCGUGGGAACCUGCCUUUAGGUUCGGAAUAACUCAGAGAAAUUUGAGCUAAUACCGGAUAAUGUCUUCGGACCAAAGAUUUAUCGCCUUUAGAUGGGCCCGCGUUGGAUUAGCUAGUUGGUGGGUAAAGGCCUACCAAGGCGACGAUCCAUAGCUGGUCUGAGAGGAUGAUCAGCCACACUGGGACUGAGACACGGCCCAGACUCCUAC
rnacentral:rRNA from 1 species